rnacentral:lncRNA from 1 species
UAAAUGCUUGCAUUCACUUCUGCUGAAACCAUUUAACAAAAAAAUGGGGUUUAAUGGCUGCAUUAAGCCUGCAGUCAAAGUAGCAGUGGUGGGAGCACUGUGGCUUUCCUCCCUUAGCUGGGCUGCCUGGUUUGUUACCCCAAUGGAGAGCCUCGAACCAGUCUGAGCUGCGAGCUGGAGCUGGUGUUGCUGCUGCCUGGUGGCUUUGAGAGACUUAUUGAUGGAUCUGAAGCCGUACACGAUGUUCAUAAGACUCUCACAGAGCUUUCCAGAAGUGGAAAUAAAACUGAGCAAAAUGCAGCCAACGCACUAGAAAUAAAGCAAAUACAAGGUGUUCAGGAAGGCAGAAAGCACCUGCAAAUUUGGGUUGAGUUUAUCACUUGGGGAACCCAAUCCCUUCUGCUGGCUGAAGUUCAGCAGCCUCAUGCAGCCCUGGGCCAGGAGCCCCCAGCGUUAUUUGGGGCACUGCCUUGGGGGCAAAGCAGGGCAGGGGAAUGGGCUGCUGCUGGGGGCCAGGGGCUGCCCCCGUGCUUACCACUCACCCCGCAGGGCUGCGGUGCCCUUGCACACAAAGUCUAAGGCGUUUGCGAUCUGUUGAUGGAGAACAAAGUCUCUUUUUAUAGUCGUUUCAUUAUGAUGCUUAAUUCCUUCUGCAGAAGCAAUUACGUUCUAUGGGCGGAAAGCAAUAUCGGAGACUUAUUAUUGUUAUUGCCAUCCCACCCGCUCCCCGGCUGGUGGCUGCCUGUGCCCGCGUGCUCGUGGUGCCGCAGGAAUGACAAUCAGUGCAUGGGGCCCUGCCUGCACCCUGACAGAUAACCAGCUGCAAGCCCAGGGCGAGCCCCGUGCACCCGGCAAACACUCACCUGGGAGGAGCAGAUCGCAUCCGACAGCAGCUUGACAGGGGCUGAUCAAACAUUUGGCGACCUCUGGGAAAGGGAAAAGAUUGGUAACACGCCCCUUGGCUGCGCUCACUUCUUUGUUGCUUAUUUUCCUUACCAAGUUCUCUAGUUAUUCAGGAAAUACAUCAGUAAAUGUAGCAUGCAUGGUUUUGGCUUUGUUUUUUAUUUCUUCACCUAACAAAAGGAAUUAACACCAAUACGUUUUGUUUUCUAUGUCUCCUAGGCUAAAUAAAGUGACCUUUUCAUCUGGUUAAAUUAAUUGU